CGGGGACGUUUGGGCGCAGCGGAUGCUUUUACUGCCUGUCCAGAUCACUACCGCAUGAUCGGAUGGAAAACAAGCCCAGAUGAGCAAAGCAAGCUGAAAAAGAAGGGCUUGAAGAACAGCCUCAUUAAAACACCCGCAGACUGGGAGGCAGCUUGGCAGAACAGAAAGCAGCAGCUGUGAGCAACAAACAGCAGAGCAGGCGCUGCAGAGCCAUGCUUGGGGACAUGAGCUGGAAGUGACUGAUGCUCUGCUGGCUCCUCCAUCCCUGCUAUGACCUGCGCUUCAAUCAGAGCGCAUGCAGAGGUGCAGCGUUGCAUUCAAUCUGCACUUGGCCCCUCUGCAGCACUCUGUCACCGUCCCCCCAUAUGACAAAGCUACAGUGCAGGGUGGCGAUACCAAAACAACUGCAAGAAAGGGCAGAAAGCAGAACUGGCACUCAGAGCUGCCUCAAACUUAAGCAAAUAGAUGCAUGACAG
rnacentral:lncRNA from 1 species